UUUCUGAAAGCCAACAAAAUCUCAUCUUCAGACAAACCCCACCUUCUCAAACUAUCUAUUUUACCUUUCCAUUUUAUCGGGGACGUAUGUAAUUUCACUCUGAGUGCAAAGGCAAAAGCAGAUUUCGCAGGAUUAAAUCCCAUUCGUAUAAUUUCCUCGACAUUUCUACUAAAAUUGUCAACAUUCUGGCACAAAACUUUAGGCCACUUAGUCACCAACAGAGAGAUGGUGGAUUGAGGCAUUCCAAGCCCUCUUAAGACCAGUAAAUUGAAACUAAAGUUCUUCUUCACGUUGUACAGAUCAAUUGGUGUCAUGCGUUUCAAUGCCGCAACUGCUAUCCCAUCGGAAAGAAGUGAACUUUUAAGGAUAUUAUAACAUGGGAUCAGAUAUUUCUCCAAGCUCCGAACUAGGAAACCCGGAUUACUACAGAUCAUCUUUGGAAGGUCAUCGUUAGAAACCCCAAUGGAAUGGAGAAAUUCAAGCUUGGGCAAAACAGUUUUCUUGACAUUACAGGAAAGCAGAUGGGGAUUAAACCUAACAACUUUGGAGAUUUGGGGAUCGGAGAAUCCGUGAUCUCUGAGAAAGCUAAGGAAAGAGUCCGGUUUUUGAGGGCUUUUCAAGUGUAGUUUCUUAGAGACAGAAUUAGCGGCUUCUGGGGACAAUCCACAUGAAUUUAUGAGGUAUGAAAUAGU
rnacentral:misc_RNA from 1 species